rnacentral:lncRNA from 1 species
UACAUAUAUAUAUUGAAUAGCCUCAGAUUCAAUGGAGGAAUAACAUUUAUCCUAGACUUAGAAUGAAUUUUAACAUAGAGCUCCUAAUUAAAAUACAAAUAAAAAAUUAAGUAAAUAGUUAAAACUCCCAGAUAGCUGUCAUAGUUAACCCUCUUCAUGAACUUAUUUCAUUUCUAUGUUGACACAUCAGUUUACUCUGCUAUUCUGACCUUCACUAAAGAAAGAACAACAGCAGCAACAACAACAAGAAACAACAGAAAAGCCCACUUCUUUACAAUUCUUUGCUUAAUCUCUUUUCACCAUCCCCAAACUACUUCCUUCUAAAAAAAAAUUCUAAAGAGAUAUUCUGACUAUUUUAACUGUUGUACAGAAAGCCAUAGCCCCAGAGCUAACAUUAGAGGUGUUUGAAGAUUCAGAGCCACAUAAUCCAUUAGGGGAAGCAGCACCUUUAUAUCCCAGCCUUGUUGUUUACCAGACUUUAUGUGCUCAUCUCCACUCUAGUUAUUUAUGCUACAGUGCAAGCAUAGAAUUAGUAUUUCUUUCUAAAAAGUUUCCAUAUGCCUAAAGUGUUCAUCUAUCGUAUAGCUGUGUUGGGAAACUCAUUUCGACCGGAUGUGAAGUAUUCAAAGUAGCUUUAGGGGCACCGGACACUGCUCUUAGGGUUACUUCUUCACUGAGAAUAAAAGAAGGACUGGACAGAGCUGUGGAUCCCUUUGAACACUGUAUUAUUCUCCUUGGUAUCAUGGUUUUGUCCUCUCCAUUGACAAAACUGAACAGAUGAUGCAUAGUACGGAGACAGUCUUCCUGACUCCAUGAGUCAUUUCUUAUGUAUUUGUCUUUGAUAGAAAUAUUCCUGUUCUAGGAGGCUGGAAAGAUGGCUCAGCUCCGCAGUUAUGAACACACAACCUGGAUUCUGUUUCCAGCACUCACACUGGGUGACUCACAACUGCCUAGAACUCCAGCUGCAUGGUGUCCAAUGUCCUCCUCUGGCCUCUUUGACAAUGUCAUGACUGUUGAUUACUGAAAUAUCCAAGUCAGUCAGGAAAGCCAAGCACUGUCUGUGUGUGUCUCACCACUUUCUGUUAGAACUAUGAUCUCAAAUUAGGAUGUUACUUGAAUGAAUUAACACAAGUGAAAUUGUAAUGAAUUUCCCUAUUUGAUUAUGAUACCAUAUUUUAUCUUACAAUUAGAAAAAAAUGAUUAAUUUUGUAAGAAAUUUUAUUCCAUUAGUAUGUUUUCUAGAGCCUAUUGAAAGGCCUUUUUAUUUAAGAAAGCAUAUUGUAACAAUUAAUUUUAAAUAUCCUGAAAAUAGACUUUGAUAUCC